CGCGUAGGCGGCCGAUCAAGUCGGAGGUGAAAUCCCUCGGCUCAACUGAGGAACUGCCUCCGAUACUGUUCGGCUUGAGUCCCGGAGAGGGUAGUGGAAUUCCGAGUGUAGCGGUGAAAUGCGUAGAGACUCGGAAGAACACCAGUGGCGAAGGCGGCUACCUGGACGGGUACUGACGCUGAAGCGCGAAAGCUAGGGGAGCAAACA
rnacentral:rRNA from 1 species